UUGAAAAGAUCAACAAAAUAGACUUCUAGCCAGACUAAUAAAAAAGAAAAGAGAGAAGAACCGAAUAGAUGCAAUAAAAAAUAAUAAAGGGAAAAUCACCACCAAUUCUGCAGAAAUACAAACGAACAUCAGAGAUUGCUACAAACAACUAUAUGCCCAUCAGCCAGUAAACCUGGAAGAAAUGGCCAUACUCCUGGACUCCUGAGUU